GGGGGAUUAGCUCAGUUGGCUAGAGCGUUUGGCUGGCAGCCAAAAGGCCAUCGGUUCGAAUCCGAUAUUCUCCACCC
rnacentral:tRNA from 4 species